rnacentral:tRNA from 1 species
AGUGUUAUGCCAGACAAAUGGGUUACUUUGAUGUAGUAAUUAUAAAGAGACUCUUUUAACACUU